GGGUAACCUGCCCAAGAGAUCGGGAUAACACCUGGAAACAGAUGCUAAUACCGGAUAACAACAGAUGAUGCCUAUCAACUGUUUAAAAGAUGGUUCUGCUAUCACUCUUGGAUGGACCUGCGGUGCAUUAGCUAGUUGGUAGGGUAACGGCCUACCAAGGCGAUGAUGCAUAGCCGAGUUGAGAGACUGAUCGGCCACAUUGGGACUGAGCACGGCCCAAACUCCUACGGGAGGCAGCAGC
rnacentral:rRNA from 1 species